ACUAAGUCACUUUGUCUUUAUGGCAAAUGUGAGAUGCAGUGUAUGGAAUGUCAAAUUUCUAGUAUGAGAAAUUAACGAUUUAAGUCCUUCUUAAAUGAGGCCAUUUACCCAUAGAGGGUGCCAGGCCCGUAUAACGUUAAUGAUUACUAGAUGGCAUUUCCAAAGAGUCGUGUUGCUUGAUAGUGCAGCACUAAGUGGGUGGUAAACUCCAUCUAAAACUAAAUAUAACCAUGAGACCGAUAGUAAACAAGUACCGUGAGGGAAAGUUGAAAAGAACUCUGAAUAGAGAGUUAAAUAGUACGUGAAACUGCUUAGAGGUUAAGCCCGAUGAACCUGAAUAUCCAUUAUAGAAAAUUCAUCAUUAUGAUUUUAAUAUUAAUAAUAUUAUAAUAAUGGUGUGCAUUUUUUCUAUAACGGACAUUGUAAUCUAUUAACAUAAAUAUAUUUAUCAUAAGAUCAAUGAUGCGUAAGUUUAUUCAAAUUAUUUUGCUUGCAAUUUAACAUAGAAUAAAUGCUCUUGAUUUGAUAAAGUGUUGAUAGAUUUAUUGUAUAUAGUGCUUAAAUAUUUAUAUUUUAUAAUAGCAUAUUAAUCAUUGAUUUUUAUGUUUAUUAUAUGCACUUAUAUGAUUAACAAUGCGAAAGAUUCAGGAUACCUUCGGGACCCGUCUUGAAACACGGACCAAGGAGUCUAACAUAUUUGCAAGUUAUUGGGUAUCAAAACCUAAUAGCGAAAUUAACAUAACUUUAAUGGGAUUAGUUUUUAGAUUAUUUUAUAGUCUAUUAAUUCAAUCCCGGGGCGUUCUAUAUAGUUAUGUAUAAUAAUAUUUAUAUUAUUUAUACCUCUAACUAGAGCGUACCUUGAGCAUAUAUGCUGUGACCCGAAAGAUGGUGAACUAUACUUGAUCAGGUUGAAGUCAGGGGAAACCCUGAUGGAAGACCGAAACAGUUCUGACGUGCAAAUCGA
rnacentral:rRNA from 1 species